UACGGCGACAUCACGUUGAGGCACCAGUUCCCGUACGAUCACCGAACUUAAGCAACGUCGAGCAUGGCCUGUACCUAGGUGGACGACCUCUUGGGAAUAUCAGGUGCU